UACGGAGGGGGCGAGCGUUGUUCGGAAUCACUGGGUGUAAAGGGUGCGUAGGCGGUGCGCCAAGUCUGAUGUGAAAGCCCUGGGCUCAACUCAGGAAUUGCAUUGGAAACUGGCGUGCUGGAGUACGGGAGAGGGAAGCGGAAUUCCUGGUGUAGCGGUGAAAUGCGUAGAUAUCUGGAGGAACACCGGUGGCGAAGGCGGCAUCCUGGACCAACACUGACGCUGAGGAGCGAAAGCGUGGGGAGCGAACAGG
rnacentral:rRNA from 1 species